rnacentral:rRNA from 1 species
UACGUAGGGUGCGAGCGUUAUCCGGAAUUACUGGGCGUAAAGCGUGCGCAGGCGGUUUGUUAAGACAGAUGUGAAAUCCCCGGGCUUAACCUGGGAACUGCAUUUGUGACUGGCAAGCUAGAGUAUGGCAGAGGGGGGUAGAAUUCCACGUGUAGCAGUGAAAUGCGUAGAGAUGUGGAGGAAUACCGAUGGCGAAGGCAGCCCCCUGGGCCAAUACUGACGCUCAUGCACGAAAGCGUGGGGAGCAAACAGG